CGGCACCAGGUUUCCCUUGUUGUCCAUCCAAUCAGGAACCUUAAAUGUUUAUUUUGUUUCAUGUGAUAAAUAUUGGGAUAUGGAGAGAGAGUUACAGAGCCAAAGGUAAUUUCAUAGGGUGCCAUUAGUGCUCCUAUGUACUCGAUGAAAGGCUCGUCCAUGAUACAGUCACAUUACCCGACUGCAUUUCCCCUAAAGCAUCAGUAGAAGGCAAGU